rnacentral:rRNA from 1 species
GUCUAUGGCCAUAACACCCUGAACAUGCCCAAUCUCGUCUGAUCUCAGAAGCUAAGCAGUGUUGGGCCUAGUUAGUACUUGGAUGGGAGAUUUUACACUCUAGAAAUUAGAGUGUAUGUAUAGGCA